rnacentral:rRNA from 1 species
GACGAACGCUGGCGGCGUGCCUAAUACAUGCAAGUUGAGCGAUGAAGAUUGGUGCUUGCACCAAUUUGAAGAGCAGCGAACGGGUGAGUAACGCGUGGGGAAUCUGCCUUUGAGCGGGGGACAACAUUUGGAAACGAAUGCUAAUACCGCAUAACAACUUUAGACAUAAGUUUUAAGUUUGAAAGAUGCAAUUGCAUCACUCAAAGAUGAUCCCGCGUUGUAUUAGCUAGUUGGUGAGGUAAAGGCUCACCAAGGCGAUGAUACAUAGCCGACCUGAGAGGGUGAACGGCCACAUUGGGACUGAGACACGGCCCAAACUCCUACGGGAGGAAGCAGUAGGGAAUCUUCGGCAAUGGACGAAAGUCUGACCGAGCAACGCCGCGUGAGUGAAGAAGGGUUUCGGAUCGAAAAACUCUGUUGGUAGAGAAGAACGUUGGUGAGAGUGGAAAGCUCAUCAAGUGACGGUAACUACCCAGAAAGGGACGGCUAACUACGUG